AGCAUCGUGGAGCAGUGGUAGCUCGUUGGGCUCAUAUCAAACGCAUAGGAACCCAAAGGUCCUCGGAUCGAAACCGAGCGAUGCUA